UCAUGAGUUAUGUCAUGAGCUCAUGCCUGUGUAACCAUAGUAACCUGCUAGACCGGAUGCGGAGGGUACGGUAGAAAGGCCGGGGGUGAGGGCAAAGCCACAUCCUAUUUCAGGGGCCAUUCUGCAUUUCCGAAAUCAUUCUCCCUCGAUCUCGUCCUUCUCUGCUGCGCGUUUGAGAAGUCUGCCCAACUAACUUCUUGGCAGUGUGAUCUCGCCAUGAUCUGCAGUCGCUUUCUGCUCGACACGAUGAGUGCCAGUUGCGACUUUGUCACCUGAACUGGUGCUAGGUGGCCUCCAAACUACAAACUCACCCAUCCCCAUGCACUCUAUCGCGAUGGGUUCGGAUUUGAACGUAUGCUCCCUCCAUGACUCUUGGCAAGUGUUGGCAAAAAGCUAGUUUGCCUCCUCACUCUCUAGCUCCUGGUCUCGCACAGAUGGCCUCUUUCCAAAUCUAUGGUGCUGCAAACCUAGCCCGGACAAUUGUCACAAGUCCACUACAGUUCUGGCCAUUCUGACUGACUGUCACCUGAUUUUCCCAUGUCCUGUGCUACUAGGCAAGACACAGCACGAAUACUCGGAUAUGAAGAAUGAGAAGAUCGUCAUUUUGCAAAAUGGUCCGGCUAUUCGCCUCUGGCAAUUCGGUACUGCUUCUUUUCUAAUCUUCUCUUGUAAUAAAUUUGUCAAAUCAUA